GCAGUCGUAGCUCAGCUGGAUAGAGUACCUGACUACGAAUCAGGUGGUCGGAGGUUCGAAUCCUCCCGUCUGCACCA
rnacentral:tRNA from 1 species